rnacentral:rRNA from 1 species
UACGUAGGGGCAAGCGUUGUCCGGAUUUAUUGGGCGUAAAGAGCUCGUAGGCGGCUCACUAAGUCGGAUGUGAAACUCCAGGCUCAACCUGGAGACGCCAUUCGAUACUGGUGUGCUGAGUUCGUAGGAGCACGAUCUGUGUAGCGUGAAUGACGCAGAGUAUCAGAGACACGUGCGAGCGUCUCUGGCAUGUCUGACGCUGAGAGCGAAGUGUGGAGCGAACAG